UUAAAAAAUAAAUUGAUGGGGUGUCGCCGGUCAAGCUGUGGUGGGGAGUUUAUGGUCUCGCCGGAGAAGAUGGUGUCGUCUGAAAAUUGGUGGUGGUGGGGGCUCUAAUUCAAUGGUGAAAUUUACUGUGGUGCUGAAAGAAGUAGGAAAAGGGGAAACAGGGGUGAGGGAAAAGGAAGGAAGAAGGAGAAGAAAUAGAAAAGUAUAAAAUACAGUAUAAAAAUAUGUAUUUAGGGCUUGACUAUGAAAUCCUAGGGCGUUAUUUAGCAAGUCAGAAAUAAAACCAAACACAUGGUAUUAGGUAUCAAGUUCCAAAUCUAUACCACCUUGAUUUCAUUUCUGAUUCCAAACCCAUACCAUUAGGUGAACCAAACGCCCCUUUAUGUGAUAAAACCCCCACUCCACUACACUAGCGAAAACAUUGAAGACCAAUUCUAUUAUACAACAGUUCGUGGGGCCUUUGCAUGAACGACUAUUGCACACUUCGAAUACAUGACCUAUUCAGCUAUACUUCAUUAUCAUUAGGCUCAAAUGGUUGACAACUUGAUAUAUAGCCCUAUACCCAAUAAUCGGUCAAAUAAGGCACCCAAUAUAUGUUAUUACUUUGACUAAUCUAUAUAUAAAUGAAAUGUAGGAAUAAUCGCUUUAGUUUAGUAUUGUCAUUAGCAUCAUAAGAUAAAAGACAUUAUUCGAGAUUGAAAUCUAGUUAUUCUUCAGUUUCCUACUAUGUUCUUCAAUUCAUCCCCAUCUGUCAUAAUUAAUAUGCGGACAUCAUUCUUCAAAAAGUUGUGUAUAUCUGCUUUAUUAUUAGCAACAUUUUUUCUAGUUGGUGGAUUCGCAACAUUUGCUGCUGCUUCAUCAUUUGCUGUUAAUGAUGGUGAACCAAAUAAUGGAUGCUGGUUUAGCAUGGGCGAAGCUGGUGAUCGGAAAUUUAUUGCCUCUACGAAUUUCGAUGGCGAAAACUCAGCCCCUAGUGUUACAAGGUUCCGUCCCUCCAGACGGAGCCUUAGAGGUGGAGACCCACAUAAUUCACCACCAUCACCUCAGAGGGCAAUCGAAGAUCAUCAGCAUGGUCGAUGAUGUCGCCAUGUCGGUAGGUCACUUUCAGUUUGAGUAAUUAAGUUGGAUGCUUUCUGAGUUUCUGGAUUUGGGUAAUUUUAGAAUCAAUUGAUUUCAUAUAUAUGGACACCUUUUUUAAUGGAUGGUAGGGCACUGAAUAGUUAAAGUUAUAUGUUGCCAAGGGUCCAUAUAUACACCCUUUCAGUUUCAGUUUGAGUAAACUGAAUAGUUUGCUUAGUCUUUUGAACAAUUGAACUAUAUAUACACCCUUUUUUGUUGCUUUUUA